AAGCCAUUUGCUGCUUAGGAGAAUGCCUUCCUUUUCAGGGUCUUCCGAACAGACAGCUGGCUCUUCGCUGUUAAUCUUCAACGGAUGCAGAAUUUCGUCCUCUUUAAUCAGGCCCACUGUCUCUGUGUCCUGGUCAGACUUCUUGCCUCCUACUGGUCCUUGCCAUUUUAUCGUUUACAGGAAAUUGGGACAUGGAGAAAAAGAGAGAGGAAUCUACCCGCGUUUUCAGUAAACUUACCCAAUGGGAGAAGAAGCACUUUCCCCCGUGGACCUCAUCGAAGCUCCUAGAUGGGGCCGUCCCAGGAGCUGCGAGCCUUGCUGCCCCGUGUCUGAAGAGUCAUGCAUUCUCCAGGCCUCUGUGAAGACACCAGUUUGUCCUUUGACCGUGUGCCAAAGAUGGAAAAAAAGAAGAGCUUCAGCAACUGUGAACCAGGAAAUUUUUUGUUUGUUUGUUUUUUUAAAACUAGAUUUGCCAACCUCGCCAAGAAAUGUUGUCUAA
rnacentral:lncRNA from 1 species